rnacentral:rRNA from 1 species
UACGGGGGGGGCAAGCGUUGUUCGGAAUUACUGGGCGUAAAGGGCUCGUAGGUGGCCAACUAAGUCAGACGUGAAAUCCCUCGGCUUAACCGGGGAACUGCGUCUGAUACUGGAUGGCUUGAGUUUGGGAGAGGGAUGCGGAAUUCCAGGUGUAGCGGUGAAAUGCGUAGAUAUCUGGAGGAACACCGGUGGCGAAGGCGGCAUCCUGGACCAACACUGACACUGAGGAGCAGAAGCCAGGGGAGCAAACGGG